rnacentral:rRNA from 1 species
UGCUUAAUACAUGCAAGUCGCGUGGAGACUUGUAGCAAUACAAGUUUUCCACGGCGCACGGGUGAGGAACACGUGGGAAACCUGCCCUUGAGUGGGGAAUAACUCCGCGAAAGCGGAGCUAAUACCGCAUAACAUUCCGCGGUCUUCGGACUGCGGACUCAAAAUCGUAAGGUGCUUGAGGAGGGUCCUGCGCCCGAUUAGCUAGUUGGUAGGGUAACGGCCUACCAAGGCGAUGAUCGGUAGCCGGUCUGAGAGGAUGGCCGGCCACACUGGAACUGAGACACGGUCCAGACUCCUACGGGAGGCAGCAGUGGGGAAUCUUGCGCAAUGGGCGAAAGCCUGACGCAGCGACGCCGCGUGGGGGAUGAAGGUCUUCGGAUCGUAAACCCCUUUCGACCGGAACGAAAAGCCCGCAAGGGAAUUGACGGUACCGGUAUAAGAAGCCCCGGCUAACUACGUGCCAGCAGCCGCGGUAAAACGUAGGGGGCCAGCGUUGCUCGGAAUUACUGGGCGUAAAGGGUUUGUAGGCGGUGCGGCAAGUCGGGGGUGAAAUCUUCAGGCUUAACUUGGAGGCUGCUUCCGAAACUGCCGUGCUAGAGUGCGGGAGAGGCGAGUGGAAUUGCAGGUGUAGCGGUGAAAUGCGUAGAUAUCUGCAGGAACACCAGUGGCGAAAGCGGCUCGCUGGACCGCAACUGACGCUGAGAAACGAAAGCUAGGGGAGCAAACAGGAUUAGAUACCCUGGUAGUCCUAGCCCUAAACGAUCAGCACUUGUUGUGGGCCCUGUUUGGGGUCCGUGACGAAGCUAACGUGCUAAGUGCUGCGCCUGGGGAGUACGGUCGCAAGACUGAAACUCAAAGGAAUUGACGGGGGCCCGCACAAGCGGUGGAACAUGUGGUUCAAUUCGACGCAACGCGAAGAACCUUACCUGGGCUUGAACCGCGCACGACCAGCCGUGGAAACAUGGCCUUCCCGCAAGGGACGUGCGUAGAGGUGCUGCAUGGCUGUCGUCAGCUCGUGCCGUGAGGUGUUGGGUUAAGUCCCGCAACGAGCGCAACCCUUACACUUAGUUGCCACCCGCAAGGGGGAACUCUAGGUGGACUGCUCCGGAUAACGGAGAGGAAGGUGGGGAUGACGUCAAGUCAGCAUGGCCUUUAUGUCCAGGGCUACACACGUGUUACAAUGCACGAUACAAACCGUCGCAGAGCCGCGAGGUGAAGCAAAUCGGAAAAAAUCGUGCUCAGUUCGGAUUGCAGUCUGCAACUCGACUGCAUGAAGCCGGAAUCGCUAGUAAUGGCGUAUCAGAACGACGCCGUGAAUACGUUCCCGGGCCUUGCACACACCGCCCGUCACA